AACGAACGCUGGCGGCAUGCCUAACACACGCAAGUCGAACGAGAUCCUUCGGGGUCUAGUGGCGCACGGGUGCGUAACGCGUGGGAAUCUGCCCUUUGCUUCGGAAUAACAGUUAGAAAUGACUGCUAAUACCGGAUGAUGUCUUCGGACCAAAGAUUUAUCGGCAAGGGAUGAGCCCGCGUAGGAUUAGGUAGUUGGUGGGGUAAAGGCCUACCAAGCCGACGAUCCUUAGCUGGUCUGAGAGGAUGAUCAGCCACACUGGGACUGAGACACGGCCCAGACUCCUACGGGAGGCAGCAGUGGGGAAUAUUGGACAAUGGGCGCAAGCCUGAUCCAGCAAUGCCGCGUGAGUGAUGAAGGCCUUCGGGUCGUAAAGCUCUUUUACCAGGGAUGAUAAUGACAGUACCUGGAGGAUAAGCUCCGGCUAACUCCGUGCCAGCCGCCGCUGUAAGAC
rnacentral:rRNA from 1 species